rnacentral:lncRNA from 1 species
AUGCCGAAAAGAAAGGCUGAGCAUUCUGGAUGGACAUACAGGAAACGACAAAAGAUUCCAAUCAAUUUGGGUGAUAAGGAAGAGAAUUAUUCAGAGGACGAUCAGAUCAGUCAGCUACCAGAUGCCAUUCUAAUUAGCAUUCUUUCCCUAUUGGGUAUUGGGGAAGCAGCAAGGACUUGUGUCCUCUCUAAGAGGUGGGUCUCUCUGUGGAAACAGAUUACGUGUCUCAACUUCGAUGAUAUAGAUGCAUUAUCCAAACCACAGAAGAAAAGAAAACGAGUGAAAACAACAUCUAGUUACAAUUGGGUGAAUCAAGUCUUGCAAUUGCACCAGGGUCUAUCCUUAGAUGAAUUCCAAAUUCAUUCUUCGUCACCCGAUUCCAGUCCUAGUAGUUCUGAAAUCGACAAUUGGAUUGAAUUUGCAAUGUGGAGGAGAAUUCAAGGCCUUGAGAUAGAUUUGGAAGCAGGCAGACGGUCUCGUUUUUCUUCUCCCAGUUAUACCUUUCCAGAUAAGCCAUUUAGAAGCCCUUUUGGUAUUUCCUGCAUCAAGUCCCUUAAACACCUCUCUUUGUCCUUUGUAAAUAUAACUGGCGAACUUGUUGAACAUUUUCUAUCCUAUUGUGAACUCCUUGAGCAUCUCUGCGUUUCUUGCUCAGAUCAAU